AUUGCGUCUCGGUCUGUGUAGCUAAGAUCAAGUGUAGUAUCUGUUCUUAACCAUUUAAUAUCUGAUAUGUCCAUUCCAGUGUAGGUAUGUGCUUGCCCCAAGCACUGCCGCCAGAAAGUUUUCCCUCAGUGGUAUCUGUUGAGUUGGCACUGGUGCCCCCUGGGGUCACACGCUAAUAGCGCUCGUAUA
rfam:Chelonia mydas contig177155, whole genome shotgun sequence.